UCAGGGGACUGCGGCAGAAAGCAGCCUGUCGCAGGAGGAGAAGGGAAGGCGGGGGAGAGCAGGAGGGGGAAUCAGCUCGCCUUAAACCAGAUCAUUCCGGUUUGGAGUGGCUCUCCCCCGCAGCCCCGGGCCCCUCUUGCAGAACAGCACUGCUGUAUCACAUAGGGGCUGUGGAGGAAGGGAGGAUCCUCACCCAGUGAAGCUUUAGUGGAGAAGGUCCUAGCCCCCUGGUACCCCUGUGCUAAUUCCAUGUGGACCUGUCUCCCUCAAGGCCAGAGUUUGGUGUCCAGGGCAUCCUCUGGAGGUGCUGCCGCAGGGUGACUGCUGUGCUCAGGUUGUCCUCCACCCCAGGAUAAAGAGAUGGGAGCUGAAGGCCAUGCCUUGCUCUGUUUCUUCUGGCUUCUAUCAUCGGCUUCCUCCCUUUCCAGAAGGCGCCAGAAGGUGGGUGCUGUCCCUAAAACGCUUUCUAGCUCUGUCUGCUGCUCUGAGACUUCAGCUAACUGGCUCUGUCCUCAGUACCUGGUUAUUGUCCUCAAACUGGUUUGCUGGGUAGAAGCCCUGCCCCCGGGUGCUAUCUGCCUGAAUACAAGGUUGUGCCCCGUGGCAUCCCAGCCAGUUGCGUAUCCACUAGAUGCAUAGUUAGCCUGGGCACCGGCCGCUGCCAGCCACGGUGCCCACGACCAGGCCCUGCGCUGCCCGCCAGGGGGCGGCAGAGAAACCACCCUGGGCGGCUUCUCUGUGAAGCACGAGGCCAUCUUACAUUCGGAAAAUCCUGGCCUGAACACUGGGAAUUUUGCCGCGACAAGUGACUGGCGGUGGCACCUGGGGGACCUGGCGCUGGCUUCAAGCGUGUCCCAGCCACAGGCUUCAUCGUGCAGCACUGCGGCUCCGCGGAGCCCAGCCAACCUGGGGAAGGGUCCGAUUCUUUAAUUUAAGCUCUUCGCGCACCCAGAGGCGCAGGAAGGGUGAGAGUUCUUAACAAGGAUACCCUUCCUUUGACAUUGAGAGAGCUGGUAACCAACCCCCUUGGCAACAACACUUCGGUGGACCUUGGCCUGUCCUCCUAUGAAGGCUAAGUAAGACGUCAAGCUUCUGUUCCAACACAAUGUUUUUGUUUGGUUUCUGGUUUUGUUUUAAGAAGCCUUGGCUGGCCUGGAACUCAGUGUAUAGACCAGGCUGGCCUCAAACUCACAGAUCCACCUGCACUGCCGGGAUGAAAAUCAAGUGCACCAUCGGGCCGGCUCCAGCACAAAUUAACUAGGCAGAAAGUGGAGGGAGUAAGACUGGACUGCCGCAUGUGGCAUACGGCUCUGCUAUUCUGGAGGAAGAAAGGCUGGGGGUUGGCCUUGUAGUCGUGGAAACCAGGUGGACAGGCGGACAACUGGGCGCAGCCGCCAUGUUCAACAUUCCAGAGGGCCUCAUCUGCGUGGCAGGCAGUGCAGGGUGAGCAAGGAGCAGAUGCAGACAUCUUGAACCCUGAUCUGAGUGAAUUCCGGAAGUAAAUAAGGGAUUCAGUCACAGGGCUCUGAUUAAAUUUGUUCUCUUACAAGGGGGUGGGAGAAACUUUGGAAAUUGGUAAAGACUCGGAUUCUUGGUAGCUUUAGUGAGACGGUUCAAAAAAGAUAAACUGAUCUGCCUGCCCCUUCUGGGGUGACACACACUGACACCCGAUAUAUUUCACAGAUGCCAUUGCUGUGAGGAUCCUGGCUUUGUGUGGGGUACUAAAAAUAGUAAGUGACCCAAGUGUGCAGCUGUCUCUGUCCUCCCUUCACCAGCCCAAGAGCUGUGCUCCUGCCUGCCCGGCUGCUGUGGGAGCUGAGAGCUCACUUCUGUAUGUGAGGCUAUGAGCUCCGAACCUUGGUGAAGCAGAAUGGCUAAUGUGCAGGGUCUCCUGGGCAUGGAAGGUCCCCUCCACCUCUAUUCACUCAGCUAAGGAGGUAGAAAAAAAAGUGGUACAAUAAUGUUCUUGCUUGGUAUUAUGAAGGGACAAGAUAGUGAGGAAUAAGCUUCAGGCAACACAAAAACAAAACAAAACCAAAAAACCACACACUUACAACAACAGAUUUUUGUUUUUUAAACACACCUCCUUCCCCUUCAUUUUUCCCUCUCUAGAACUGGCUCUUAAAAGAUUCCCCAAAUGCCACUUAGGCUGCAUGUGAACGAGGGAGGAAUUUAACAGCUGUACCCUUCAAAUCACUCCAACUACAGACUCCAUGAGAAAAGACAUAUUCACACCAUCUAAAAAAGCAAAACAAAACAAAACAGGUUGUUUGGUUUUUGUUUUGUAAGGAGAAGGAGAUGCCAUUGGUCCAGCCCAGGGCACCCAUGUCACAUGCUAGGCAGGUUUCCUACCACCUUGCUAUAUAUCCCCAGCCUCCACUCUAGUCUCAAUGCCACAGAACUGAGUAGUCUAGGUCAUGAUGGCUUGUCUGUCUGUCUGUCUGUCUGUCUGUUUUGGAUACUGUCCUUUUCGUCUCUAAUUAGAAUGCUGUCUAGUGGCUGUGUCAAUCUGCGGCCUCCGCACUGUAGAGAGCAUCAGUGACUAACACCCUUGCAGUAGUCUAAGUACUUUCUACAGUCAUUUAAUUCUCACAGUGGGGUGUCAGGAGACACCAUUAAUCCCACUUGAGGAGAAUGACUCUAGCGCCAUUUUCUCUUACUUCAGUGGUUCUCAAGGGAGGGAAGGGACGAGUCUGCUUGAUCAGACUGUCAUCCUCACAUCAAGGUGAUAAGGACAAGCAAUGGUCAGUGUUCAUUCUGGCCAUGGCUCUCCAGUUCUCUGCUGGACAAUUAGGAACAAGGAGGAGAGUGAGCAGCUGUGAGACGGAGUCCCCAAAUCCUUAAACCAGCUCACCCAGAACUGAGAUUUGUUAAAAUAACAUGUUUUAUUUUCAAAAUAUUUAAAAUAACAGUAACAAAAAAUACCUAGAACUGAGUUUUGGGGAUUCGGACCCCAAAUUUUUCAUUUUUAAUAAAUACGUAUUUUUCUUUUUUGAAUGAUUGCUACAUGUGUGCAGAAGAUAACCUCAGGUGCAUCUCGCCUUCUACCUUUGUGUGCGUUUAGGUGGCCACUUGCACAGGGAGGCUUUUCCCACGGAGGCAUUGUGAUAGCUCUCCAUGUGUAGAGCGGCUUACCCGCUUGCUCUGCAGCUGGCUUCGUUCUUCCUCCUCCUCUGUCCACGCCAGUACGACAACGUGAGCAUGCCACAGUGUGGCGCUCGCCUAGUCUACAUAGCUGACACCAAACACAGCGGGACGGACAUUUGGAGAAUUAGAUUAAGGAGUGGUAGCCACCCUAGGCCAGUCAGAGUUUACGCCUUUGGCAAGCAUCCUACUCACCAAAGGCUACAUUCCCAAGGUCCCUCAUAGCUAGUCCACUUCCUCUGACUCAUGAAUAAACCACGCCCAAGGGAAAGGGAGUUCUAGAGAGGAGGCGUGCUUCUGAGAGAACCAACCCUGUUCCAAUCCCACAUCUUCCUAAAACUGCCAAUCUCUGGCUGAAGCCCUCCCUGUGUGACUGUUUAUAUCUAAAUACAUUUAAAUCAAGUUCCAGAUUCUUAUUCUGUCACCAUAACCACUGUUGGAGUGUCCAAUGGCCCAUGUGGCUGGUAGCCGCCACCCUAGUGGUCAGUGCAAGUAGAGAGCACAUCCUUUCACUAAACAAGGCUUUUUUUUUUUUUUUUUCCAUUUUUAUUUAUGAGUACACUGUAGCUGUCUUCAAACACACCAGAAGAGGGCAUCCUGUUACAGAUGGUUGUGAGCCACCAUGUGGUUGCUGGGAAUUGAACUCAGGACCUUUGGAAGAGCAGUCAGUGCUCUUAACCGAUGAGCCAUCUCUCCAGCCCCUAAACAAGGCUUUCUGACUUGGCUGAGAGCAGAGUGGAGACCGCAGUGGUGCAGCCUAAUUACACUAGGUAACAUGGUGUGCUGUUCACCUCUAAUAGCGCUGUAAUAGUUUUCUGAUAAACUAGAAUCAUGGAUCCAGAGGAACAAAAAUCAUGAAUAUCAGCUGAGAUACUGCAGCCCCUCCCCUCCCACUAGGCCUAGCCAAGGAACCCAGUCCGAGUUUUUCUCAGGGACUGAGGAGACUGAGGGAUGGCUUGGUAGUCAAAAAAAAAAAAAAAAAAAAAGCACAUGGGGCACUUGGGGAGUUCAGUUCUCAGCACUCAUGCCAGUUGGCCUACAAACCCCUUAGAAUUCCAGCUUGGGAAUUGGCCUCUCCUCAUUGUUUAGGGAUAGGGUCUCCAUGUAGCCCUAUAGCCAUCCUGGGGAUUGGUUAUCUAUCUAUCUAUCUACUUACCGACCUACCUACCUACCUACCUACCUACCUACCUACCUACCUAUCUAUCAUCUAUAGUCAGGGUUUCUAUGUAGCCCUAGCAGUCCUAGAACUCAGUAUGUAGCCCAGGCUGGAAUGGCCAGGAUUAAAGGUGUGCACUACUAUUAUUCUUUCUUUUCUUAAAGUCUUUUUCAAAGCUCUUGCAGGUCAAAAGUAUGAAUGUCAAAGAGAUUGACUUAUUCUUUAGGAGGAAAAUAAGGCAAAGGCAGGAAGACUGCUCUGCACAGGACAUCUAUGUACUGUCUAUAUGGUGGACAAGCGAGCCUGUACCUUUUCUCCUCCUUGUAGACUUUCAUCAUCACAGUAAAGAGCUGUCCUUAUAAAAAGUCAAUGGAAUGUGUCCAAUUCUAGAAGGCAAGCCUUAAAGUACUUGAUGUGGAUAGAGUGUCCCUGUCUACUCUGGACUAACAGAGUUAAGAUAUAUUGCUGGGAGAAAGGCCACAAGAUGAAGCAGGGCUCAGAACUGUGGUUUAAUCCCCCCCAGAGAAUUGCAGGACAGGACUCUGCUCCAAUGACGGCCUUUUCUUUGGAUUGUGAAGUCCCAUGACUGCUCACAGGGUUCACACAGCCCUCAUGCUUCCCUGUAGCUGUUCUUCACCACUCAGGGAAGUCUGACGCCACACAGACUGCUCAGCAGUGAGGGGCCUCCCCACAGUCGCUCCCUUGCUGAGAGCCGAGUUCUAAAGGCAGGGCUACUGUGAGUCCAGGAGUUCCAGGUGAGCAGAGAGGGGCGGGAGGAGGGCAGUGGAGGGCAUGAACAAUGUCCAGUGACCGAGGUAGGACUGGUGUAUAUGUCAAACAGGAGAGAACUCACACAUGUGGAGAAAUUACUGCAAACUGCAGACAAUCACGGCAACUUGGACCGAAUAGAUUUAGAGAUUUAUUGAUCAGAUUGUUUUAGAAAACCAAUAGCGAACACUGACAAGGUAAAUAAGUACAGAUGGAACAUUUCAGGGUAGAUUUACUUGCUCAUAGGAAACCAGGGGAGGUGGAAAAGCUGUCCUGAUCACAUGGCAUGCACACCAGACUGCAAAAGGACAUCCACACUGUGUAACAGGACUGUGGCAAGUAGCUUUAAAGUAAGGCGAGCACUGUGUAUGGCCUCGAAUACCUGCAGGAAGAGCGGAGCCUGGCCCAGCCUCAUAGCAGCUCCAA